AUGGCCAUGAUCCAGUCUCAGAAUACUUCUCCAUUAUCUUCUCAAGUACUGGCGGCGAUGGGGCAGGCACCCCCGCCGAUUUCGUUUCCCAGUUUUGGGGGCGAGAAUCCGCAGCUUUGGAAGACGCUGGCGGAACAGUACUUUCAGAUGUUUGCGGUUCAGGAAUCAUACUGGGUUCCCAUGGCAAUUCUGAAUUUCACCGGCCCGGCUGCCAUUUGGCUGCAGUCGGUGCAACGCAAGGUUGCGGGUUUGGCGUGGGAAUCAUUCACAGCGCUGUUGUGCACUCGAUUUGGCCGCGAUAAACACCAGUUCCUGAUUCGUCAGUUCUAUGCUAUUAAACAGACGGAUUCAGUAGCAGAAUUCAUCGAACAUUUUGAAACUCUGAUGAAUCAUAUGAUGUCUUAUUCAGAACUAACGCAUCCUUACUUCUUCUUGACUCGGUUCAUCAAGGGGCUGCGGGCGGACAUACGGGCGGUGGUGCUCAUUCAGCGUCCGCCUGACCUCGACACGGCGUGUUCCCUGGCGCUGCUGCAGGGGGAGGUAGCAGACGGGGAGCUGGUCAAGCACGUGGCGCCAGCGCGUUUUCCAGCACCGCGGUUUGUGACGGCCAGUACUCCAGUGGCGCCUCCGAGCGCUGCCCGUCCAUCCGCGCCUACAGCUAGCGCUGAAGAUCGACUGGGGACAGAAGCAGCGCGGGCAGGGACAGAGAACAACAAGAUCCCAGCCUUGCGCUCUUUCAGAAGAGCUCGCGGUCUCUGCUUCAAGUGUGGGGAGCGAUGGGGCAAAGAGCAUACAUGUCCUUCCACCGUUCAGAUGCAUGUGGUGGAGGAAUUGCUGGAAUUAUUUGCAACAGAGGAGACGCGAAGUGAGGUCGAUCAGGAUCAAUCAACCUUGGACGAGGAUAAUCUCUGCACCAUCUCAAAGCAAGCAGUCGAUGGAUCGUCUGGGCCGGAAGUGAUGCAGCUGCACGCGUGGAUACAGGGCAAAGAGAUGUCACUCCUGGUGGAUUCUGGCAGUUCGUCGUCAUUUGUGGACCUGCAUAUGGCUACUCAUUUGUCCGGGGUGUGCAAACUGCCGAAGGCUUGUCGCUUUAAGGUCGCAGACGGGUCAGUGUUACACUGUGACAGCUUUAUUCCGCAGUUCCAGUGGUCUACUCAGGGGCAUGAGUUUGUCACAGAUUUUAAGCUCCUAUCCCUGGGAGUCUAUGACGCAAUCCUAGGAAUGGAUUGA
rnacentral:rRNA from 1 species